rnacentral:rRNA from 1 species
AUGGUCACCCACCUCCUAUUUGUGGAUGAUAGCAUUGUGUUUCUUGAAGGAUUUGACAAUAAUCUUCUUGCCCUUAAAGCAAUCCUUGGGGAAUAUGAGUUGGCAUCGGGACAGAAAGUAAAUAUGCAGAAAUCGUCCAUCUUCUUUGGAAAAGGAUGCACAGAAGAUUCGAAAGACAAUCUAAAGGCAGUGAUCGGGAUUACGUCCGUGGCCCUAAGCGAGAAAUAUUUGGGGCUGCCCACAGCUGUGGGAAAAUCCAAGGAGGGAACUUUUAAAUACGCGCGAGAAAGUGCUAAGGGUAAGGUCACGGGGUGGAAGGGCCAAGGAUUAUCUAAGAAGGCGCGGGAGGUUUUGGUCAAAUCGGGGCUCUAG